UACGUGGGGAGCAAGCGUUGUUCGGAUUUACUGGGCGUAAAGGGCGCGUAGGCGGUCAGCACAGGUCAGUGGGGAAAUCUCCGGGCUUAACUCGGAAAGGUCAACUGAUACUGUGCGACUAGAGUGCAGAAGGGGCAACUGGAAUUCUCGGUGUAGCGGUGAAAUGCGUAGAUAUCGAGAGGAACACCUGCGGCGAAGGCGGGUUGCUGGGCUGACACUGACGCUGAGGCGCGAAAGCCAGGGGAGCGAACGGG
rnacentral:rRNA from 1 species